rnacentral:rRNA from 1 species
GAUGAACGCUGGCGGCGUGCCUAAUACAUGCAAGUCGAGCGAACGGACGAGAAGCUUUCUUCUCUGAUGUUAGCGGCGGACGGGUGAGUAACACGUGGAUAACCUACCUAUAAUACUUGGAUAACUUCGGGAAACCGUAGCUAAUACUGGAUAAUAUUUUGAACGGCAGGGUUCAAAAGUGAAAGAGGGUUUUGCUGUCACUUAUAGAUGGAUUCGGGUUGCAUUAGCUAGUUGGUAAGGUAACGGCCUACCAAGGCAACGAUGCGUAGCCGACCUGAGAGGGUGAUCGGCCACACUGGAACUGAGACACGGUCCAGACUCCUACGGGAGGCAGCAGUAGGGAAUCUUCCGCAAUGGGCGAAAGCCUGACGGAGCAACGCCGCGUGAGUGAUGAAGGUCUUCGGAUCGUAAAACUCUGUUAUUAGGGAAGAACAUCUGUGUAAGUAACUGUGCACAUCUUGACGGUACCUAAUCAGAAAGCCACGGCUAACUACGUG